GAGUGGUGUUUGGUUUGUUACGUGUGGUUGGCUGCGGCGUUUGCAACAACUUCCAUGCUUUCAGACCUCUUCAGUUGUGCGGCAAGGCUUGUAUCGCCUUGAGCGUAUCGUGGGUUUUCUGUGUUGGCUACCUAAUCGACGGUAUCGGUUGGAUUGAUCAAAGUUUGAUUUCGUCUUCCGUCGCAUUCGCGGCGUGAGGUGAACCUCGAUGCGGUCUCUUUGAUCCACCUCGUCGGAGCACAUGCUUUGACGUUGUGGCGCAUUGAGCAUUGCUUGGUCUCUUGUAUACGGAACAUAUAGUGGGCAUGGAUCUAACGAUUCUCGUUUGCCCUCAUAUUAGCGUAACGCUUCUCUUACACGACUUGCUCCACGUUUUAGCUCGUAC
rnacentral:misc_RNA from 1 species